rnacentral:rRNA from 1 species
UGGGGAAUCUUGCACAAUGGAGGAAACUCUGAUGCAGCGACGCCGCGUGAGCGAAGAAGCCUUUCGGGGUGUAAAGCUCUUACGCCAGGGACGAUAAUGACGGUACCUGGAGAAGCAGCUGCGGCUAACUACGUGCCAGCAGCCGCGGUAAUACGUAGGCAGCAAGCGUUGUUCGGAAUUACUGGGCGUAAAGGGUGCGUAGGCGGCGCUCUAAGUUUGGUGUGAAAUCUCCCGGCUUAACUGGGAGGGUGCACUGAAAACUGGGGCGCUCGAGUAUGGGAGAGGAAAGCGGAAUUCCUGGUGUAGCGGUGAAAUGCGUAGAGAUCAGGAGGAACACCUGCGUUGCAGACGGCUUUCUGGACCAUCACUGACGCUGAGGCACGAAAGCGUGGGUAGCAAACA